rnacentral:lncRNA from 7 species
AACAAUGUGGAUCGUCUGCUGGUGAGCGGAGGGAGGUUUUGUCUUGCUGGUGGAGUGUCUAAUGGCUGCUGUGCAUUAGUCAGCAAGUGGUAACAGUGCCUGAGGAGAUACAUUAAGGGAAACAGAAGGCUCCUCUUCCUCAUCUCUAACGUGUUUGGCUGCAGACACCACAAGAUUCAACCACAUACACAAAAAAACCAUUUGCAAUAACUGAAGGUUUGGAUUCAGUGAAAGAUUGUUCUCCAUAAAACAUUUUCAGAUACCUGGAGUCAUAUCAGGGACUGCAUGUGUGCUAUAUUGGGAUUUGUGCUAGGAACUGUUUAUGACUUAUGUGAUAUAGUUAGUGCCCUCUCAUUUCUUCUGUCAGUUUUCAUCAUUUCUCUCUUCAUGUUCAGGCCUUCUUAGGGUGAGUAGUGUUGACUACUGUACCCAGAUCUUCCCCAGCCUUCACUACACUGCAGAAUGGUAGUUUGUUCUGGACAUGUUAGCCCUCCAAAGACGAAACACAGGAAUAAUACUUCAGGAUUCUUAUAUUUUUAAUUUAGUUCCUUUUCCCAAGCUUUGACUUCAUUUGUGAAGCACACAAUGGCAGCCUAGAGAGCUUCUGGAUUACUGCCUAUCAUUUUCUCUUGGCAGUGGUUGUUGUAAACCUAUUGGCUUUAUCUUUCACUGCCUGGGUUGGGCCCUCAGCUUUUUCCAGGGGAGCGCAGUGAUUCCUAACCUCAGUGAUAAGCCAGAUAAAUGGGUUCUGGUGUCAUGCAUAGCAGCUAGCAGCCCAUUUUCUCCUUGUGGAAUAUGGCUCUCAUCACAUCUGGUCAGCAAUGAUGUGGUUUUCUCUAGCUAUCCUGUCUUUGGGAGUGUUUAUGCAAGACCUUUUUAAAUCUGGAAGUUCGUCCAUUUAACCACCACCUUCUGUUAUGAAUGGCAUUAUUCAACAUGGAAUUGAUUUUGUGCGUGUGUGAUGUCUUAGGAAUUUUACUAGUAAUUAGUUACAAUAAGGUCAAGAUAAGAGGAUCCUUGUAAACCUCUUGUCCUGGUGUUGCUUUUCCAGUCUGAGAAACGGACUAAAAAAAGCACCUGUUGCACAGAUGCUUUUUAUACGUUGGUACAUUGAACAAUGAAGCAGCUUGUUCCUUCUUCAUUCCUUAGGUAUGUAUAUUGCAAGCUUGUAUUUGAUUUAAUCUCUCUAUUUAACUUGUGGUUUACUGGUUAGUUUUUAGAAUUGUGUUCUAUUUUCUCAUGAAUUCCAAAGAAUAACUUCCGUGUAAAUUCAUGUGUUUGGCACACCAGAGAAAUAAAUGUCUAGAUCUGAAAAG